rnacentral:rRNA from 1 species
AGUCUGCAACUCGACUACAUGAAGCUGGAAUCGCUAGUAAUCGCGAAUCAGAAUGUCGCGGUGAAUACGUUCCCGGGUCUUGUACACACCGCCCGUCACACCAUGGGAGUCAGUAACGCCCGAAGUCAGUGACCCAACCGGACAGGAGGGAGCUGCCGAAGGCGGGACCGAUAACUGGGGUGAAGUCGUAACAAGGUAAC